rnacentral:rRNA from 1 species
GUCUCCGGACAUAUCAGCCUGAAGGCACUAGAUCUUGUCUGCUCUCAGAAGUUAAGCAGGGUCGGGCCUGGUUAGUAUCUUGGAUGGGAGACCACCUGGGAAUCCCGGGUGCUCGAGACU